ensembl:lncRNA
AGAGGGUCUGGGAUAGGGCUGACUGGGGCCUUGCUGCUGCCUUGGUCUCACUGGAUAUCCAACAAGGCCGGUGCUCAGCACUGAAGUGAUCGUUCUUCACCCAUCAGAGGGCCCAUAAAUGCACAGGACUGCAAAGAGCACUACUGGAGGAGGUUAAUCCCCUUCACAGCCUGCAGAACUUCACACGGUGCGUAGCAAGGUGGCACUGCGGCCUGGCUGGCCACAGGUGUUUAUGCCAGCCUACUGACCAGCAUACUUGGUUGGAUGAGGCCCUGGGCAACCAGAUCUAGUGACUGAUUUAGUGGUUGGCAACCCUGUCCGUGGCAGGGGCUUGGAACUAGAUGACCUUUAAGUUCCCGGGCAACCCAAGCCAUUCUAUGAUUGUGUAAUUCUCACAGAAUCAAAGGGCGGUUAGGCUAGCACGGACCUCUGGUCUGUCUGGCCCAACCUCACCCAAGCAGGGACACCCAGAGCAGGGUGCCCAGGCCCAUGUCCAGCUCUGGGCUACCUGUGCCUGUGCUCCGUCACCCACAUGUUGAAGAAGUGCUUCCAGAUGGUCAGGGGGAACCUCCUGUGUUCCAGUUUGUGCCCAGUGCGUCUUGUCCAGGCACUGACCACCACUGAAAAGAGCCUGGCUCUGUCCUCAUAGCAGUUAUUGACGGAUAUUGUGAAGAUUCCCCCCAGACCUCCUCUUCUCCAGCUGGGACUGUUCACAGCCUCUCCUUACAGGCAAGGGAAGUUUGGCCCCUUGGUACAGCAGUGCAGAGCAAUUCCUGAGCGUGCCAGGAUGACUCCUGUAUGCAUUGUGUUUACCCAUUGAAGGCUUUUUUGUUGCAGAGCUGAUGUUCUGCAGUACAUGCAUACGCACGCACUCUUCUUUCCCAUCUGGCUCUCUGAUGGAGCAAUUUCUUUGUGAAUGCUGGUCGCAAAGGAGCAGAAAGUAGCACACUCUGUUCUUGCACCAUACGUGUCUGAAGCAUCCCCUGCGCUGCCGAUGUUCUGCCAGCCCAGAGCAGGAUGUCCAGAGCGAGGAUUAGGCGAGAGUAUUUCAGCUCUGCUGGAAAGGGCAAAGUGGUGGCGAGAACUUGGCUCCACACCUUGGAAGCUGAUGUAUGCUCAUAAUCGCUUGACUCACCGAGCUGAGACUUUGGGAAAAGCACCAAAUGUUUAUACGUUCUGAGAUAAAACUGCACCAUUUGGCAGCGCUGCUGCUUGCAUCGUCAGUGCUUGGUGGGGAAGACACACCUAGGCUUUUAUUGCUGCAGAUUAGUGUACUUAAGAUGACAAGGCCGAUACAGUCCCAAAUCUGAACUUCCCAGCUGGAACACCCUCCUGUCCUUUGUCAUGCCACGCCAAGGGAAGGCGGCGCAGAGCCAGCAGCUGUCCCCUGGAAGGCAGGCUGGGGUCAGAGCCAACACACAGAGCAAGGUGCAGGGGAAAAUCAGCCUCACGGACGUUUGUCUUCACUCUGAUAUCCACCCUGCAUGAUGGAAAGCACUCCGCUCUUCAGACACCAGCAGCUUUGGAUGCUCAGGUUUAAAAUUCUCUCACAAAAAGAGCCAAUGGAAGGGACUGAUUGUCAGCAUGCAGAAUGGCCACAGGUGGGAAUGAGCCACUGCAGAGCAGCCUGGGGAAGCAAGAGCAAUGCUCUGUGUAGCAGACCCUGGCUGUGCAGGCUCGGGUCGUGGAACAGCUUAGCAUCAAAGAACUCUGCUCUGAGUGGAGCUGGAUAGCUCUUGAAUUAUAAAUGCAUUAAAAAUACCAAGCAUUUUUUGGAGUCCUAUUUCAGGUUUUUUUAGACUAUCAGCAGAGUAAAAGAGGUGAAGAAAGAUUUUGCAAGGUGCGGGGUAAAACAGACCAGAGAGUAAUAAAAUACUUCUUGUAAACGAGCCCAGUUGGAAUGAGAGCCUCUUUAUGACAGCUUGCUGAGGCUGUAGUGUUUUGCAAAACUGUGUGAUAAACUCCAAAUAGCUUCUCUGCAAAUCUCUGGAGGCAGAGCAAAGCUAAGGCUGGCUGCUGUGCUGCCACAGCUUUCAAUGAAUGAGCUCAAAAUGGACCCUCUAGUGACAGCUCUGUCAAAGAAUAGCAAUCGGGUACUCUCGGAGACAACAACUUCAACAUAUGCAUUUUUGUAAGGAUAAAUGAACCCUAAUGUGCCGGUUUCGAAUGCAACUCAGUGCUCAAAGUUUUUAACAUGCCUGCUUAGAUGAUGAAGAAAAUAAAACCAAAUGG